CAAUAGCGUAUAUUAAAGUUGUUGCGGUUAAAAGCUCGUAGUUGGAUUUCUGCUGAGGACGACCGGUCCGCCCUCUGGGUGAGUAUCUGGUUCGGCCUGGGCAUCUUCUUGGAGAGCGUAGCUGCACUUGACUGUGUGGUGCGGUAUCCAGGACUUUUACUUUGAGGAAAUUAGAGUGUUUCAAGCAGGCACACGCCUUGAAUACAUUAGCAUGGAAUAAUAAGAUAGGACCUCGGUUCUAUUUUGUUGGUUUCUAGAGCUGAGUAUGAUUAAGUAGGAUAGGUUGGGGCUAUUCGUUAAUUUAACUGUCAGGAGGUAGUAAA
rnacentral:rRNA from 1 species